rnacentral:rRNA from 1 species
CCUACGGGAGGCUGCAGUGAGGAAUAUUGGUCAAUGGGCGGGAGCCUGAACCAGCCAAGCCGCGUGAGGGAAGAAGGUACAGCGUAUCGUAAACCUCUUUUGUCAGGGAACAAAGGCGGGGACUAGUCCCCGGAUGAGGGUACCUGAAGAAAAAGCAUCGGCUAACUCCGUGCCAGCAGCCGCGGUAAUACGGAGGAUGCGAGCGUUAUCCGGAUUUAUUGGGUUAAAAGGGUGCGCAGGCGGCCUGUUAAGGCGGCGGGAAAAGCCCGGGGCUCAACCCCGGCGAGCCGUUGAAACUGGCGGGCUGGAGUUGGAGAGAAGUACGCGGAAUGCGCGGUGUAGCGGUGAAAUGCUUAGAUAUCGCGCAGAACCCCGAUUGCGAAGGCAGCGUACCGGCUCCACACUGACGCUGAGGCACGAAAGCGUGGGUAUCGAACAGGAUUAGAUACCCGAGUAGUC